UUUUCUGUACUAGAAUAUAAGCUUCUUGGAGACAGGAACAAUUUGUUGUUUGUCUUCGCAUCUAGCCCAACCUUCUGCACGUUGUGGUAUACCUAAGAGCUGGAUGGUGAACAUUUACCAGUAUCCCUCUGCCCCCAUUGCAGUUUCUAACCCAGGAAGGCCUGGAUUAAGUAGAUAUCCCCUUGAAGACAGUGUGGUGUGGUGAGAAAGAACACUGGAUAAGAGUCAAGAUAAACUUGGGUUCAAAUUCUACUUCCCAUAAUUACUAGUUCUGUAAACAGGGGCAAGUCAUCUUUCCUUUCUGAGCCUGGGUUUUCACAUCUGUAAAAUGGAGAUGGUGGUAUGAGGAGUAUC